rnacentral:rRNA from 1 species
UUAUGGCUCAGGAUGAACGCUGGCGGCGUGCCUAACACAUGCAAGUCGAACGAAGUUACUUGCUUAGAUCUCUUCGGAGUGACGAGCUUUUAACUUAGUGGCGGACGGGUGAGUAACACGUGAGCAACCUGCCUUUCAGAGGGGGAUAACGGCUGGAAACGGUCGCUAAUACCGCAUGACAUAUUGAAUCGGCAUCGGUUUAAUACCAAAGGAGCAAUCUGCUGAAAGAUGGGCUCGCGUCUGAUUAGAUAGUUGGCGGGGUAACGGCCUACCAAGUCGACGAUCAGUAGCCGGACUGAGAGGUUGAACGGCCACAUUGGGACUGAGGUACGGCCCAGACUCCUACGGGAGGCAGCAGUGGGGAAUAUUGCACAAUGGGGGAAACCCUGAUGCAGCAACGCCGCGUGAAGGAAGACGGUUUUCGGAUUGUAAACUUCUUUUCUUAGUGAAGAAGCAAGUGACGGUAGCUAAGGAAUAAGCAUCGGCUAACUACGUGCCAGCAGCCGCGGUAAUACGUAGGAUGCGAGCGUUAUCCGGAAUUACUGGGCGUAAAGGGAGCGCAGGCGGGACUGCAAGUUGGAUGUGAAAUACCGCAGCUUAACUGCGGAGCUGCAUCCAAAACUGUAGUUCUUGAGUGGAGUAGAGGCAAGCGGAAUUCCGAGUGUAGCGGUGAAAUGCGUAGAUAUUCGGAGGAACACCAGUGGCGAAGGCGGCCUGCUGGGCUCUAACUGACGCUGAGGCUCGAAAGUGUGGGGAGCAAACAGGAUUAGAUACCCUGGUAGUCCACGCUGUAAACGAUGAUAGCUAGGUGUGGGGGGUCUGACCCCUUCCGUGCCGGAGUUAACGCAAUAAGCUAUCCACCUGGGGAGUACGGCCGCAAGGUUGCAACUCAAAUGAAUUGACGGA